UACGUAGGGUGCGAGCGUUGUCCGGAAUUAUUGGGCGUAAAGAGCUUGUAGGCGGUCUGUCGCGUCUGCUGUGAAAAUCCGGGGCUCAACCCCGGACCUGCAGUGGGUACGGGCAGACUAGAGUGUGGUAGGGGAGACUGGAAUUCCUGGUGUAGCGGUGAAAUGCGCAGAUAUCAGGAAGAACACCCAUGGCGAAGGCAGGUCUCUGGGCCAGAACUGACGCUGAGAAGCGAAAGCAAGGGGAGCGAACAGG
rnacentral:rRNA from 1 species